ACCAUGGUGGUGCAGUGGUCAGCACACCCGAUCCCGACCUAAAUUCCUACGCUCGCUUACCUAAGUCUCUAAUUCUCUCAUCGAUCGGGAGGUCGCAGGUUCGACUCCUGCCCAUGGUG
rnacentral:tRNA from 1 species